UACAGGGGGUGCUAGCGUUGUUCGGAAUUACUGGGCGUAAAGGGCGCGUAGGCGGUUGCGCAAGUCAGAAGUGAAAUCCCGGAGCUUAACUCCGGAAUUGCUCCUGAUACUGCGUGGCUAGAGUGAGUUAGAGGAAGGCGGAAUUCUUAGUGUAGAGGUGAAAUUCGUAGAUAUUAAGAAGAACACCGGUGGCGAAGGCGCCUUCUGGACUUAACUGACGCUGAGGCGCGAAAGCGUGGGAUCAACAGG
rnacentral:rRNA from 1 species